GAUGAACGCUAGCGGCAGGCCUAAUACAUGCAAGUCGAGGGAGAAGUUAAAGCUUGCUUUAACAGAAACCGGCGCACGGGUGCGUAACACGUAUGCAACCUACCUAUUACUGAGGGAUAGCCCAGGGAAACUUGGAUUAAUACCUCAUAGUAUCAUUUGAUGGCAUCUGAAGAUGAUUAAAGUUCCGGCGGUAAUAGAUGGGCAUGCGGAAGAUUAGCUAGUUGGUGAGGUAAUGGCUCACCAAGGCGACGAUCUUUAGGGGUCUGAGAGGAUGAUCCCCCACACUGGCACUGAGAUACGGGCCAGACUCCUACGGGAGGCAGCAGUAGGGAAUAUUGGUCAAUGGGCAAAGCCUGAACCAGCCAUGCCGCGUGCA
rnacentral:rRNA from 1 species